rnacentral:lncRNA from 1 species
CAAGCACUUGCUUUUUUAUUUUAAUAUGAAAUGCAGAAUACACAUUUUUGGAUCCAGGAAGUGUUACUUACGUGCCUGUAACAAUGUAAUUUUAGGCCAGGUGCAGUGGCUCAUGCCUACAGUCCUAGCACUUUGGAAGGUUGAGGGAGGAUGAUCGCUUAAGUUCAGUUGUUGAAAUGCAGAAUACACAUUUUUGGAUCCAGGAAGUGUUACUUACGUGCCUGUAACAAUGUAAUUUUAGGCCAGGUGCAGUGGCUCAUGCCUACAGUCCUAGCACUUUGGAAGGUUGAGGGAGGAUGAUCGCUUAAGCUCAGUUGUUCAAGGCUAUGUACUAAAAAUAAAACUAGCCAGGCAUGGUGGUACACGCCUGUAGUCCCAGCU